UCCGUAGGCGGGUAAUUAAGUCAGAGGUGAAAUCCCACAGCUCAACUGUGGAACUGCCUUUGAUACUGGUUGUCUUGAGUUACAGUGAAGUAGAUAGAAUAUGUAGUGUAGCGGUGAAAUGCAUAGAUAUUGCAUAGAAUACCGAUUGCGAAGGCAGUCUACUAACUGUAUACUGACGCUAAUGGACGAAAGCGUGGGGAGCGAACAGGAUUAGAUACCCUGGUAGUCC
rnacentral:rRNA from 1 species